GUCAGGUGGCCUGGGGGGAGGGGACAGAGCUGGAGGCAGGACACGCCUCUCCUCCGAGGCUUGAGUCCUCGUCCACAGUCAGGUUGGAAGGGCUUGAUCCUCUAGGUCAAAGCCCGAGGCUCCCACAGUGGGAGGCUUGGAGGCCUCCCCAGACUAGAGCUACAGAGUGAGACCUUGGGCAAUGGUUCUUUCCUGUCUUAGUCUCUGAAGUAUCCCCAGGGCCUCAGACACUGCCUCCACAUAGGGGGUGUUCAACAGAUGAAUGAACGAACGGAAGUCCUGCCGACAGCUUGUCAGAAACCCCAGAAGCUUCCUGGACAAAGCAGAGAAAGAGGCCAAGUGGUUGCGGAUGGAGCCGAGACUGGCUACUGGCUUCCCACUUGCAACUGUGGAUGGGCCUGCCUGGGAGUGAAGCCUCGGCCACAUCGGUUCACACUCGGCCCAGGACAGGAGCCACACACCCAGCACAUCAGCUGGCAGGGAGGGGUGGGGAGUCCACAGCAACAGAGGACACUUCCUUCUGGGGAGAUCAGAGGUCUUCCAAAGAAGAAACUCUUCAGCAAGGACAUCGAAGGACAGAGAUACCAGCUUCAGGCACAGCUGGAUCAUGAAGCCCAGACAACAUCAUCAGGAGCCAAUGUCUCACCCUCGCUCAUC